rnacentral:rRNA from 1 species
CCCUUAGAUGUCCGGGGCUGCACGCGCGCUACACUGUAGAAAGCAGCGUGCUUUAAAACCUUUCCUGAAAAGGAUGGGUAACCCCAGCAAAAUUCUACGUGCUUGGGAUAGAGAUUUGCAAUUUUCUCUCUUGAACGAGGAAUUCCCAGUAAGUGCGAGUCAUCAGCUCGCGUUGAUUACGUCCCUGCCCUUUGUACACACCGCCCGUCGCUCCUACCGAUUGAGCGGUCCGGUGAAGACUCAGGAGAUGGGCGCGUGCUUGGUUCGCCAACUGCGCUGCCUGCCAAAUUUGUCUAAACCUUAUCGCUUAGAGGAAGGAGAAGUCGUAACA